CUGGAGGCUCUGGGCAACCCUCACAGCCCCAUCUUUCUUAAGCUGGAAGGCGAUGACUUUUCCUCGAUGUCUAAAUCGAGGAGCCCCAGAGAGAAACAGGCGGCGUCCACCCCGCAAAAGCAUGGAAGAAACAGAGUAACCUGAGGUUCUUUGCUGCUCUCACCACUUCUUCCUUCGUUCGGAAAUCUCCCAGGGACCACUCAUGUACAGGGCUCUCCCCAUACU
rnacentral:lncRNA from 1 species